GCCGCGGUAGCUCAGUUGGUAGAGCAUCGGGCGGGUUAUUCGAAGCUCGCAGGUUCGUUCCCUGCCCGCGGCA
rnacentral:tRNA from 1 species